AGCAUAAAGCCAUACAUUAAUUUUCUAAACUUCCACUUUCCACCCUUUUGAAGAAAAUUAAUACAGCUGCCCAAUUUUUCUUCACUUCCCCUUUCCACCCUUUUGUUGCUGCUGUGUGAGCAUAUCCACCAUCUUUGGCCGCUCACUGCUUGUUUCAAACGACACAAUCGUAGAACUUAUUUGAACUACAAAAGACCAAAACUUGAAACCCAGAUUGAGUUGGGUCAUUCCAAAUAAUCACCAAGAAUUUGAGAGAAGCGGAAUUCCACAUAGUAAGCAUUUUAUUGAUCUAUUUUCCUGCUAUUCAUCCCUUUCUUUGGUAGUAUAACUUUCAAUAUGCUGUUUAUUUUUAGGCACUAUUUUGCACAUUCCUGCUCAAAAUUAAGUCUUUUCUCUAUUAAAGAUCCCACCUUUAAUAAAAUUACUUGUUUGAACAUUUUGUAUUAUCAUUCACAUGUGUACCCUUUUAGCUACAGUUCAAGAAAAUUGUGUUCUUGGCCUCAAAUUUACUACCCAUCAAAUUCUAGACCUCUUUUAGCUCAAACCCAGUUUGUCAAUUUCUAUUGUUCAAGUGCACCAACAUGGCUAAGAGGACCUCCCUCAAGAUCUUUGAGGAAGAGGAUGAACAGGAGAGCAAGAGCUGCAUCAAAGCCUGUUCUUGACGAAUCCCGAUUUCAAAGGGCUGUAACUCAGCUUCCACCUAGAUUUACUCCUGAAGAACUGAGGGAUGUCAUGACUUCAGAAAAUGAUCCUUUAGUGUGUUUGGAGUUGUUUAAUUGGGCGUCGAAACAGCACAGGUUUAGGCAUGAUGUUUCGACGUAUCAUGUUGCUAUACAACGGCUUGGUGAAGCGAAAAUGUAUGAAGAAAUGGAUCAUAUUGUUAAUCAAGUACUUGCCGUUCCAUCUAUUGGGUCCGAGGCGCUUUUCAAUUCGAUGAUUUAUUAUUUCACGGAAGCUAGGAAGUUGACUCGAGCAGUGAUGAUAUAUAAGCAUAUGUUAAAUAGUAGGAAAUUGGAUUGUAGGCCGUCGAUUAAAACUUAUAAUAUUCUUUUCGCGGCUCUUCUUAGUAGGAGGAAUAAUUCGUAUAUAAAUCACAUGUAUAUGGAUACUAUAAGGUCUCUCUUCAAGCAAAUGGUCGAUAAUGGGAUUGAACCAGAUAUCUUUUCCUUGAAUACCAUGAUAAAAGGGUAUGUGCUUUCGCUUCAUGUCAAUGAUGCCCUUAGGGUAUUUCACCAAAUGGGUGUGGUUUACCAGUGCCAGCCCAACUCAUUUUCAUAUGAUUAUCUGAUCCACGGGUUAUGUGCGCAAGGACGAACAAAGAAUGCUAAGGAAAUUUAUGAUAAGAUGAAGUGCAAAGCAUUCAUACCUAGUAGUAAAUCGUACAACUCGCUGGUGAACUCCUUGGCUCUUGGCGGAGAGGUUGAUGAGGCAGUGAAAUUCAUGUGGGAGAUGAACGAAAACCGAAGAACAAUUGACUUCAUCACCUUCCGAACAGUAAUUGAUGAAGUCUGCCGGCAAACAAGUGUGAAAGACGCCAUUGGCUUGUUGAAGGAGUUGCAAAAUAAGGACAUCAUCGAUGGUCUUACUCAUAGCAAGCUUCUGUGUGAACUUGAGGAUGAUGUUCAUAAUUUAAAUGUCAGAAAUCGGUACAGCUAAGGUAAGAAAAUCACUUUGACAUGGUGGCUCUGAGAAAGCAGUUUCAAUUGACUAGAGCAGAACCUAAUGAGUGCUUGACUUGAAACAUUGGCAGGUUUCAUGCAGCAUGGACCCUAAUUUAUGUUGGGGUAGCAAAAAAAUAUCUGGUUUUUCAUGGAAAUGAGAGAUAGCUGCAGAAAUAAGCAGAAUUCCUUCAUGAGAGAUGUAUACUGUAUCUAAAUGGAAUGAAGAGCAAAAGACAAAAUAUUCCCUCUUUAAAAUCUAUUUCUUGAGAACUGGAUUUGAUAUAUACAUCAGUUGUAUAGUCGCUUUCCUUCUAUUUAAGCCAAAUCUAAUUCAUAACUAAUGUUGCUAAACAUUUUUCUUAUUGAAAAGAAAAGAAAAAGUGUAACUAGUGAUGAUGUAUGAAUUUAUUGUUUUUAUUA